GCAUUUUCUUGCCUCUCGUCUCUCCCUGACACCCCGAUCCUGUCUUUUUUUAUUCUGUCCUCAAACCUCGAGAAGGGCAGAAACAAAGGAAGGAGGCAAUCCAUGGGAAAGGGCUGUUCUAAACUCAGAAGUCUUUCACAAUUUCUUUUGAAGGGUUUAGAAGGCUUUAGUUAAAGGGUGGAUGGAUACCUAAUGAACCAGUGAAGAUGGUGGCCUGUGGGGAGGGGACUGCAGGUGAUGAAGAUGGGAAAUCAGUAAGCCCUGCAAGGUGACCCUGGGGAGGUUGCUCCCUUUCUGCGCCAGCUCCUUAUCAUGAAAAGAGGAUGACAAUGUCUGGAUCUGGCUUGUUGUGAGUAACACACCUGGCACUUAGCACCUGUACAGGGCUUUCUUCCUUCCCUCCAACUGCAACAAUCUCCAAGAGGUUGACCCUGUCCGCUAAGAAUAUCCUCAGCACAUUGGCUCAGAACAAAAGAUCUGAAUACAAAGAUCAGUACAAGUCACCAUUGCCCACAGCCUCUCUCCUACUCUUCCUCCAGUCAGGAGACGUCUUCCGGCACCAAGCUGAUGGGAAGGAGCCAGAAAGGAAGUGUCAGAGCCAAAAUGUUCUCCCACCUUUCCAGGGCUGGUCACCAUGUUCCUGAGCAGGGAGGGGUGGAGCUCUUUCUGGGCUGUCACCUGAUCUGUGGCUCCUUUCUACCUUUGGCUAUAAAGACGGUAGAGCAACAAUUAAAAAAAAGAAUUUAGGAGUAAAGAAGAAAAAAAUGCAAAGAAAC
rnacentral:lncRNA from 1 species